rnacentral:rRNA from 1 species
CGUGUAGGCGGAUUGAUAAGUUUGAAGUGAAAUCCUAUAGCUUAACUAUAGAACUGCUUUGAAAACUGUUAAUCUAGAAUGUGGGAGAGGUAGAUGGAAUUUCUGGUGUAGGGGUAAAAUCCGUAGAGAUCAGAAGGAAUACCGAUUGCGAAGGCGAUCUACUGGAACAAUAUUGACGCUGAGACGCGAAAGCGUGGGGAGCAAACA